ACCCCAUCCCCCAUCUUGGGGUGCUCACCCCAUCCCCAUGUUCUUGGGGUGCUCACACCACCCCCAUGUCCCCAGGAUGCUCACAGCGUUACCCAUCUUGGGGUGCUCACACCAUCCCCAUGUCCUCAGAAUGCUCACACAAUCCCCCAUCUUGGAGUGCUCACAUCGUCCCCAUGAUCUUGGGGUGCUCACACCAUCCCCAUGUCCCCAAGGUCCUCACACCAUCACCAUUCUUGGGGUGCUCACACCAUCCCCAUGUCCCCAACGUCCUCACACCAUCCCCAUGUCCGCAAGGUCUUCACACCAUCACCCAUCUUGGGGUGCUCACACCAUCCUCAUGUUCUUGGAGUGCUCACAUCGUCCCCAUGAUCUUGGGGUGCUCACACCAUCCCCAUGUCCCCAAGGUCCUCAAACCAUCACCCAUCUUGGGGUGCUCACAUCACCCCCAUGUCCCCAAAUGCUCACACAAUCCCCCAUCUUGGGGUGCUCACACCAUCCCCAUGUCCUUGGGGUGCUCAAGCCAUCACCAUUCUUGGGGUGCUUAACCAUCCCCAUUGUCUUGGGGUGCUCACAUCACCCCCAUGUCCCCAAGGUGCUCACCCCAUCCUGCAUCUUGGGGUGCUCACACCAUCCCAUGUCCCCAAGGUCCUCACACCAUCACCCAUCUUGGGGUGCUCACACCAUCCCCAUGAUCUUGGGGUGCUCACAUCACCCCCAUGUCCCCGAAUGCUCACACCAUCCCCUAUCUUGGGGUGCUCACACCAUCCCCAUGUCCCCAAGGCCCUCAAACCAUCCCCCAUCUUGGGGUGCUCACAUCACCCCCAUGUCCCCAAAUGGUCACACAAUCCCCCAUCUCGGGGUGCUCACCCCAUCCCCAUGUUCUUGGGGUGCUCACAUCAUCCCCAUGUCCUUGGGGUGCUCACCCCAUCCUGCAUCUUGGGGUACUCACACCAUCACCCAUCUCGGGGUGCUCACACCAUCCCCAUGUUCUUGGGGUGCUCACACCACCCCCAUGUCCCCGAAUGCUCACCCCAUCCCCCAUCUUGGGGUGCCCACCCCAUCCCCAUGCCCCCAUUGCCCCUCCCCGGAGAAUCCAGUGAUGCCUCGUCGUGUGCUCGAACAGAAGCAGUGUUUAAUAGGAAAUAUUUAAUUGCUAUUUAAUUUGUAAUUUAAAAACCUCAUUUGUCCAUACAGCCUGUAAAUAUUUCCCCCCCUCGAAUAUAAGUAUUCCUCAUCCGAAUCCUGAUUUUUGUAAUGAAAAGAUUAUUGUUGUUAUUGUUGCUAUUAUUGUUAUUGUUAUUAUUAUUAUUAAUUAGAGCAGAGGGAAAAUAAUGCUGGGAAGCUGCUGGAGUUUGGCAUCAGAGCCUGCUGUGAUGGGGCUGUGAUGGGAUGGAGCGCCACGAUGGGAUGGAAGUGGGAUGGAGAGGAGCUCUGCAGUGGGCUGAUGCUGUACUGGGAUGGAGCUCCGUACUGGGAUGGAACUGGGAUGGAGAGGGGCUGUGCUGGGGUGGGUAUCUGUGUUGGGACUGCACUCAUGAUGGGAUGGAGCUGUGCUGAGAUGGGACAGAAAUGGGAUGGGAUGGAGCUCCAUGGUGGGAUGGAAAUGGCAUGGAGAGGAGCUCUGUAGUGGGAGUUCUGCUGUGCUGGGAUGUGAUGGAGCCAUACUGGGAUGGGAUGGAUCCAUACUGGGAUGGGAUGGAGCCAUACUGGGACGGGAUGAAGCCAUACUGGCAUGGAUCCAUAUGGGGAUGUGAUGGAUCCAUACUGGGAUGUGAUGGACCCGUACUGGGAUGGGAUGGAGCCAUACUGGGAUGGGAUGGAUCCAUACUGGGAUGGGAUGGAUCCAUUCUGGGAUGGGAUGGAGCCAUAUGGGGAUGUGAUGGAGCCAUACUGGGAUGUGAUGGAUCCAUACUGGGAUGGGACGGAUCCCUACUGGGAUGGGAUGGAGCCAUACUGGGAUGGGACGGAUCCAUACUGGGAUUGGAAGGAGCCAUACUGGGACGGGAUGGAUCCACUCUGGGAUGGGAUGGAGCCAUACUGGGAUGGAUCCAUAUGGGGAUGUGAUGGAGCCAUACUGGGAUGUGAUGGAUCCAUACUGGGACGGGACGGAGCCAUACUGGGAUGUGAUGGAGCCAUACUGGGAUGG
ensembl:lncRNA